rnacentral:piRNA from 1 species
UGAUCUGUCAGGCUAAAUGACCCUGUUGAU